CUCAAAGGUACACAUGUAUGCAGACGACACUGUAAUCUACGCUAGUAAACCCAAGCUACCGCAGCUUGAGGCUGUGCUCCAAAAACAAUUCACAGAGGUAGAAAAGUGGAUAGCAGAUAACAAACUCUUCCUAAACACCGACAAAACCAUUACAAUGUUCUUUGGAACUGUACCUAAAUUACGUAAACUACAAAAUCAACAACUGUGUAUCAGAACAAAUGCAAACAGCAC